rnacentral:tRNA from 1 species
GCUGAAGUAGCUCAGCUGGAAGAGCGUUAGUCUGAAGAUCUAAAGACUGAGGAUCUAAAGGUCCCUGGUUCAAUCCCGGGCUUCAGCA